GUAUAUAUAUAUAUAUAUAUAUUUAUAUUCACUGAAUGCAUGUAGGUACGUACUUAGACAUUGCUCUUGCUCAAAUGCGUCCGAGCUGGAGAUUUCGCAUCUUAGCUUCAACAAACUUCAUCCUUUUAAUUUGUUAUUUUUCUUUUAAUGUUCCUCCUUUUAAAUAUGAUCUUUUUUUUACGCGAAUAUGAUUUUAUGUUCUACGUGAUAUUUAUGUUUUGCAAAGUGAAAAAGCAAUAGUUUUGUUUUAGUACAUUUUAAAUGCAAGGAGUUUAAGGGUUUUAAUUUUUUUUUGCGUAAUUUGGAACUACAGAUUUUAAUUUCCUUUUUCUCCCCUUGUCCUAAAUUUUUUAGUUUAGAAAUCGUCUCGUAUUUAGUUUAGUCUUCGCCGUAAACUGAUUUCGAUAACGCAAUAUAACAGCUAAUUAUGGUCAAAAUUUUGUUUUUCGUUCUACACGCCGUGUGUGAAUUGAUAUUCUUGCAUGUAGUUACAUUGCAAAACCAAGAGAUCAGACCAAGGUAAGCCAACUUUAGAUAAAUGGUCGAUAUUUUCACUGAUGUUCUAACUUCUAAUUAAGUAAAUGGGUUUCAGAGAAGGAAGGAUUUAUGUGUAUAUAUAUUAUCUUAAUAUUUUUUUUCAAAAAGUGAAAUCUGAUAUUGCAAAAAAAAUGGUAUAUGGCAUUUGCAGUUUGAGCAAUGGCUAUUUUUUUGCCAAUUUUUGUUUAUGUAUAUUGGGGUUCAUUGAAGUUAGUUAAUAUUGAUUUGUUAAGAAAAUGCAUAUGUAUCCUUCUUUUGUUUUUCUGUGAUCCUUCUUUUAAUUAUGCCAAAAUGAUUUUAUGUUCUACAUGUGAUUUUUAUGUUUUGCAAAGUGUUUUAAACUUUUAAUCAGUAUUUUUGUUUUAGACUGAGUGUGGAUUUAAAAUGCAAGAAUGUUAUUAAGGUUGUAAUUUGUUUUCGGAAUUUGGAAUAACAUAUUUUAGUAUAAUGUUUUCCCCUCAUCGUAGAUGUUUUAGUUUAUGAAUUCUCUUGUAUUUAUAUUAUAGUCUUUGCCAAAAAAACUGAUUUUGAGAAGGAAAACUUAACAGCUAAUUAUAUAUGGUUAAUUUGGUUGUUUUUGACUUCUUACUACACGCAGUGUGUGAAUUAAUAUUAAUAGAUUUUCAUGCAGUAACAUAUUUGCAAGCCCAAGUGAUCAGAGUUAUUGACUUAUUGUUAUAUAAGUUAAGCCAAAAAAUUUUUUUAUACACGCUUGAUUUAUCACUUAUUCACAUUAAUGUAUCACAGAGAUUCUACCUUCUAAAGUAAGCCAAAUUUAGAAAAAAGGCUUGAUUUAUCCCAUCGUCGAGAGAUUGAUUAUACAACACCAGUGUUAUUAAUUAUGACGACUGUAAUUUUUAUUUACUUUUAACAAUGUUGUCUAUAUGUUGAAGCCAAUUUUUCUACUGCAAAUAGGCCGUUGAUAUCUUAGUGUAAGGUAAAGAAUAUUAUCGUUCGAAACUUAUUCGUAAUGAUAAAGUAUAGUAUUUUUUUUGACAACAGAUUACAGUUAAUUAUAGAUGUUCAGCAAAAUUAUUCGUGGUUCGGGUAAAAAAAGACUAGUUGUGGUAAAGUAAAAGAGAUAGCCGACAAAAAAAGCUACGGUAAAUGAUAAAGUAAGUACGGUUAAAAAGAAAUUACUCGAUAAUACCGGGGGGGAAAAAAAAAAAGAAGAGCUCCUUGGCGACGAGAAGUAGCCGCCGGAAUCGAGAGGCCAAGGCGGCCGUAGUUAGAGAGCUUAACGGAAAAUGACGCGCGACGUUGAUUAGUCUCCGGAGGAUCUUUUAGGUAGACUGUGAAGACUUGCAAAAGAUAGCCUUUUGACAUCUUUGUUCACUGUUACACGAUGAAUGACGCUCUUGUAUAUGCCGUUGCUCAUCACUUCUACCUGAUCUCCCAGCUGAACUAUCAAAGCUCCUUCGAUAUACGGCACACAAACCCAGUUUUUGUUGCAGUCCAUUAUCUGGAGUCCCUGGCUACUUUGAAGUAAUAUGGUCAGUGAGCUGAAGUCUGAGUGUGGUGGCAUUCCCAAGGCGAUUUCAGGUUCCGGACAUGCUGGAUAACAGUUCACUGCCAUGACUUGUGAGCCUCCUUCAAUCUCUUCUUCAUGGAGGAUUUGAUGGCCACAUAUUGAUCCACUUUGAGAGUGGAUGAGAGUAAUGCUUGAUGAAAUCUCUCCAGUAGUGAACUCUGUCUGUGGAAUGGUUAAGGCUUGUGCCAUACCUUACUGGCUCAUGAACAUUUGCAGACACCAGAAGCAUCUUCUCCUCCACAGGCCAUGCUAAUCUCGUGGAUUGCGCGGGAUCUAAGCAGAGGUUGGUUUAGAAGAGAGAGAUCAAUGACAGGAAGUGUUGUCUCAGUGGUGCCUAAGCUUGAACCAAGAGCUGGCCUUUGCGAAGGGGGAAGAACGUAACGAUCAGGGACUUGAGGCACACCUGAAUUGGGGCAAAAUCGUCUUUUCAUCGGAUCAGGCUGGUAACGUAUUCCUCUGUCUGGACUGGAUUUACCGCCAUUAAGAUAUUUUGGUUUCCACUUUUAAGGCAAAAAAGAAAAUAACAUAUUUCUGUGUCACUGUGUGUGUUGACGUCAUUUAUGAGGAUGAAUAUGGGUCGAGAUUCAUGUUGCAUCAUUUUAUUCAAUAGUAUAUAAGUAUUAAUAAACGGUUUUUAAGCAUGUUAAAAUGUAUCUGUACAAAUACAAAAAGAUCUAUGAGUUGGUUUUUCCUUUUGUCGAA